CCUACGGGAGGCAGCAGUGGGGAAUAUUGCACAAUGGGCGAAAGCCUGAUGCAGCGACGCCGCGUGAGGGAUGACGGCCUUCGGGUUGUAAACCUCUUUCAGCAGGGAAGAAGCGAGAGUGACGGUACCUGCAGAAGAAGCGCCGGCUAACUACGUGCCAGCAGCCGCGGUAAUACGUAGGGCGCAAGCGUUGUCCGGAAUUAUUGGGCGUAAAGAGCUCGUAGGCGGCUUGUUGCGUCGGUUGUGAAAGCCCGGGGCUUAACCCCGGGUCUGCAGUCGAUACGGGCAGGCUAGAGUGUGGUAGGGGAGAUCGGAAUUCCUGGUGUAGCGGUGAAAUGCGCAGAUAUCAGGAGGAACACCGGUGGCGAAGGCGGAUCUCUGGGCCAUUACUGACGCUGAGGAGCGAAAGCGUGGGGAGCGAACAGGAUUAGAUACCCUGGUAGUCCACGCCGUAAACGUUGGGAACUAGGUGUUGGCGACAUUCCACGUCGUCGGUGCCGCAGCCAACGCAUUAAGUUCCCCGCCUGGGGAGUACGGCCGCGAAGGCUAAAACUCAAACGGAAUUGACGG
rnacentral:rRNA from 1 species